GACGAACGCUGGCGGCGUGCUUAACACAUGCAAGUCGAACGGAAAGGCCUGCUUUCCCUUGUGGAUUGCGGGUACUCGAGUGGCGAACGGGUGAGUAACACGUGAGUGAUCUGCCCCCAACUUGGGUAUAAGCCUGGGAAACUGGGUCUAAUUCCCGAUAGGACUGCAGGGUGGUGCCUGUGGUGGGAAACGAUUUUCUAGUGGUUGGGGAUGAGCUCGCGGCCUAUCAGCUUGUUGGUGGAGUAAUGGCCUACCAAGGCGGCGACGGGUAGCCGGCCUGAGAGGGUGGACGGCCACAUUGGGACUGAGAUACGGCCCAGACUCCUACGGGAGGCAGCAGUGGGGAAUAUUACACAAUGGGCGGAAGCCUGAUGCAGCGACGCCGCGUGGGGGAUGACGGCCUUCGGGUUGUAAACUCCUUUCGACCGCGAGGAAGCCACCUGGUUGGAAGGGUGGUGACGGUAGUGGUAGAAGAAGCACCGGCUAACUACGUG
rnacentral:rRNA from 1 species